GAAAAUGAUGAUAAAAAGUCUAACUAUCACCUACCAAAAAUUAGAAGAAAUGCUUUUACAUAUCCCUUUGACAGAAUUUUAAUGAAACCCAAUUAAGUAUAUAGUGUGUAUUCCUGAAUGCUAUCCUUGAGAAGGAGAUUGCCUAGUCAACUUGGAAGAAUAUAUCAGCCUGUCACCCAAAAAAUUACUCACAUGUUGCUUAGCCAAGACAUCCAAAAGCAACAUUACGAAGAACAAAUUUGUAGAGCUAAAUGAAGAAUUGAUCUACACAAGGAUAGGCUCAGGAGCUGAAUCUGAGGGAGCACCACUAGUGCCAUUGAGGACGGUGACGUUGCCAUCUGAAUCCACAUCCACAAUUACUGAAUCACCUUCUUUGAUCUCACCUGCAAGCAUCUUCUCGGCCAUACUAUCCUCUAGCAGUCUCAUAAUAGCUCUCCUCAAUGGCCUAGCUCCAUAGCUUGGGUUAUAUCCUUCAUCAACUACCCUAUCUCUAAACCUCUCUGUCACUUGGAGUUCUAUCUCCUUAUUCUUCAACCUCACAAAGACCUCCUUAAGCAUGAUAU
rnacentral:misc_RNA from 1 species